rnacentral:lncRNA from 1 species
CAAAGAAGGAAUUCCGGCAAAAAGAUACAAGGGAAGGAAGUGACGCAACAAACAGGGACAUUGGAAGGCCCUGAGCAGGGGCUCCUCCUCUCAGAAGGCCCCAGACUAUUUGCGAGUGUGUUUUUUUCUUUCUUUUUUUUUUUUGGAGCGUAUAUUUAUUUCUUCUUCUCUGCACCGCUUGUUAGAACAAGGCGGAGUUCAGAGCAGCGCGGUGACGACUUCUUACUCGUCCGUGUGUCCUCGGGUGGAAGCGGACAGAGCGGCAGAGGCGGCUCCGGGCCACGCGGCCGUCCCUUCUCCGGGCCCGGCUUUCUCACAGCUUCGCUCGGCCUUUCACCUGUUGACCCUUCCUGCGGGUCGCCCUCAUGGCGACCGGCGACCGCCCAGGCCCAGGGAGGCAAUGAUCCGUUGUCUGGUCGGAAAGCCCCGUUUCUUCAGGUGUCCUCAGCGUUGAAGGAACCCAAGUGGCGGAUGUGGGCCUGGGUGGUGCGGCCGCUGCUGCCUGGUUUCCUUAAAUCUGUUUCCAGCUCUUCGAGCACCGCAGACCUGGCUGGUUCCACCUCGCAUGUGUGCAAGCCCCGUCCGACCCUCGAAGCCCGGAACAGGGCAGUUGGGAAAGAAAAAUCAGCUAGAGCACCGAUCAAGCAAGUGUUUGUUAUGUAACAAGAGGUUUGCUAAUCACAGCUCCCGCAGCAAGCAGUUGGCCUCUCACUGAAAAGGUGCACGGAUUCAGCAACUAAAAGCGCAGUGUAGAGCUUAAUGCUGAACAGAAUAGUCCUAAUCCUGCCUUCAUUGUUACCAUAGUAGAUUUUACAGAUAUUCUUUUAACUGUCUUAGCACAGUCUGAGAAUAAAUGUUGAUUGCUAUUUACCAUUAAUUUUUUAAAUUUGCUGAAAUCAGUCCAUAACACCAAAAAGAGCUCUAGUGCAUAAUAUUUUCCUAUGAAAUGGAUGUGAGAAAUGUAAAUUUUAUAACAGCAUUCACUUUGAUGUCGGGUAUUUUGUCUCCACUUUGAGAAAAGUAACUGAGGCAGAGAUCAUAAAGUAACAUCCAGGUGAUAUCUUUCCGGGGGCCUCUGCUUGAGACAUUUGAGCCUUUGAAUCAUCCUCCUUAAAAAUGCUCAAUAAAUUUCCCAAAGAGACCCAAGCUCUUCCUGUAUUUGUAUCUCACACUGUAGGGUCUCACACUGGAGCCCCAGAUUUCUCUUAAGCCCUGCUGGUGUGGGGGCCCACGUUUGAUUGGAGGCUAAUCUAGUAAGGAGAAGCACGCCAGGUUAUCCAAGAUGGCAGG